GUACCAUCUCGGCCUUUUGGCUAAGAUCAAGUGUAGUGUCUGUUCUUAUCAGUUUAAUAUCAGAUACAUCUUCUCUCUGAGGACAUUAUAGUACGUGGAUUUUUGGAGCUGGGAGAUGGAAUAAGAGCUUGCUCCGUUCAUUCCGCACAGUGUCCCCAGUAUAGCAGUACUUCCGGGAAAAGUGCACAAAAA